GAUGAACGCUGGCGGCGUGCCUAAUACAUGCAAGUCGAGCGAACAGACGAGGAGCUUGCUCCUCUGACGUUAGCGGCGGACGGGUGAGUAACACGUGGAUAACCUACCUAUAAGACUGGGAUAACUUCGGGAAACCGGAGCUAAUACCGGAUAAUAUAUUGAACCGCAUGGUUCAAUAGUGAAAGACGGUUUUGCUGUCACUUAUAGAUGGAUCCGCGCCGCAUUAGCUAGUUGGUAAGGUAACGGCUUACCAAGGCAACGAUGCGUAGCCGACCUGAGAGGGUGAUCGGCCACACUGGAACUGAGACACGGUCCAGACUCCUACGGGAGGCAGCAGUAGGGAAUCUUCCGCAAUGGGCGAAAGCUUGACGGAGCAACGCCGCGUGAGUGAUGAAGGUCUUCGGAUCGUAAAACUCUGUUAUUAGGGAAGAACAAAUGUGUAAGUAACUAUGCACGUCUUGACGGUACCUAAUCAGAAAGCCACGGCGAACUACGG
rnacentral:rRNA from 1 species